GCCUUUUUUGUGCAAACUAUAAAAAUCUUCUUGUCCAUAACCAUUGGGCCUAUUUCUACCAAAUUCGGUAGGUAGUAACAUCUAAUAGUUCUCUACUUAGUUUGUUCAAAUUAUGCCCCUAGGAACAAAUUUGACCUUGCCCCAGGGGUCACAAAAAUGAACAUAUGCUUAAAUAAGGCCUAUUUUGUGCAAACUUUAAAAAUCUUCUUGUCCUUAAUUAUAGAGCCUAGGGCUACUAAAUUUGGUAUGUAGUGAUAUCUAAUAGUCCUCUACCAAAUUUGUUUAAAUUAUUUACCUGUGCUCAAAUUUGACCCGGCCCCGGGGGUCACAAAACUGAACAUAUGACGUUUACCAGUGGAGAUUACUGCGGCCGUUUGGCUGUGACCAACAACAACAUCAACAUCUUGUACACAUGAGAUAAAACCCUGUCAUUUAGUGCCAUUUUAGGUCAGAUGGUGACUGCUUACAAAGGCAUUGAAGUAAGAACAUGUGUUAUGAAUGUUUUUCUUAUAAACUGAAAAAAGUCGGGUUUUAUUUAAAUAUGUCGAAAGUGACCAUAUAUCCGGAUGAAAAUAUUUUGGAUGACAUGUUAAUUUCAUGUCUUUUUUGUAGUGUUAAAACCAGUUUAAUAAUAUAUUAUUGAUUUUAAAAACACAACUUCCAUGAACAUGAUAUAAUUAUUUCAAGGAGAGUCAAUAUAUGAUACUGCACGGUAAACUCAAACUUUGUAUCCAAGAGAAGGUGUUGAAAUUAAUGAAGUGCAAUGUUCUUAACUAUCGUAUAUGCUGCUUUUUAAUAACUAAUGAUUCAUUGUUCCAUUUGUGAAUCGUGACUGAUCAUGAAUUGUUGAAAUGAUUGUCAAUUGCUCAACAAUCCAUAGAUAUUUCUGACCAUUUUAUAAUUUUCUUAAUAUAAGUUAUGAAUUGAUCUUAGAAGUCAAAUGUAUUACUUAAUUAAAUACAUUUAUAAAUAUAAAGAAAUAAUCUUUAGAUUAUCAUAAUAUUCUCAGGCCUGUUGGUCUUAGGGAUGUGUGGGUUGAUGAGCAAUUUCUCCUUUUAUCACAAUUAUUUCUACCCUACCUGAUCAUUUCCUUCAUAUUCCAUUUUAAUUCAAUUGACGUCUGCAACCUCUUUCAAAUUGGGAAAGCCCAAAAUGUGUUGUUUGGUAAAGGGUUAAGGCAUUUUGAUUCCUAUGGGUCUUGUGAAUCUGUUUCAAAUCAAAUGCGUAGAUUUGAUCUUCAGCAUCUAAAAAUAUGUGAAAUAGAAAGAACGACAAUAUCUUUUGGAGAGAUAAAUGUACCUACGUUAUAAGCAAAGGACCUGUGCAACAAUUCCGAGGCUUUUUGUCUGUUUAGUUAACACGGUAGUAACUUUUUCCAUAUAUAAAAAUGCUCACCCUUCCAACUUGAAGCGCCCAGUGGGACGAGGGAUAGAAAGAGAAAGUCACAUGCUUGAGUACAUUUCAACCCAUGUGCAUUACACGUUUUUUUCGCAAAGAAAAAACAGUGGAGCGAUACAGGGCCAUCAUGGCCCUCUUGUUUAUAUCUUAGAUGAGUUUGAAAAUGGUCCCGAUCUUUAAAAAAAAACAUGGCCGCGGAGUGGGGGGCAGUUUUCCUUAUAUGACUAGAAUAACCUUGUGAACACUCUAGAAAUCAUAUUUUUUGCUUAAUCAUCGUAAAACUUAGUCAAUACAUUGGUUUUAUUGAUAUCCCAGAUAAGUUGGAAAAUGGCUCAGAUCGGUGAAAAAAACACACUUUUUAGCUCACCUGAUUGCUCAGGUGAGGUUUUAGGGUUGGACUUUGUCCGCCGUUUGUCCACAUUUGGUUUGUUAACACUCUAGCAUUCACAUUUCUCAAGCAUUCUUUAUCAAAGUUGCUGAGUAGCUAUAUGACCACAAGAUCUCAGUCAAGUUUGAUAAUGAGCAAAAUCGCAUACUAAAUGAUAAAAUUAUUGCCCUUAGAUUGUGAAAAUUUUCAUUAUAUUACACAAAUCCCUGAAAACACUAUAGGUCACAAUUUUGUUUCAGAUUUUAUGAAUCUUGGUCAUUUUUUAUUUAAAUAUAUAAAUAUAUUUAUUUUUUGUACGCAAAGUUUGAUGUUUGGUCAUGAGGGGUCAAAAUAUAGGUCACCAGGUCAAAUCCUACAAAAACCUUGUAAACACUACAUACGCCAGAGUUUUGGCUUUAUUAUGCCCCCCUUCGAAGAAGAGGGGGUAUAUUGCUUUGCUCAUGUCGGUCGGUCUGUCGGUCCGUCCAUCAGGUGGUUGUUAGACGAUAACUCAAGAACGCUUGGGCCUAGGAUCAUGAAACUUCAUAGGUACAUUGAUCAUGACUCGCAGAUGACCCCUAUUGAUUUUGAGGUCACUAGGUCAAAGGUCAAGGUCACGGUGACCAGAAAUAGUAAAAUGGUUUUUGAAUGAAAACUCAAGAACGCAUACGCCUAGGAUCAUGAAACUUCAUGGGUAGAUUGAUCAUGACUCGCAGAUGACCCCUAUUGAUUUUGAGGUCACUAGGUCAAAGGUCAAGGUCACGGUGACCCGAAAUAGUAAAAUGGUUUUCGGAUGAUAACUCAAGAACACAUACGCCUAGGAUCAUGAAACUUCAUAGGUAGAUUGAUCAUGACUUGCAGAUGACCCCUAUUGAUUUUGAGGUCACAAGGUCAAAGGUCAAGGUCACAGUGACCCGAAAUAGUAAAAUGGUUUUCGGAUGAUAACUCAAGAACACUUUUGCCUAGGAUCAUGGCACUUCAUAGGUACAUUGAUCGUGACCCGCAGAUGACCCCUAUUGAUUUUCAGGUCACUAGGUCAAAGGUCAAGGUCACAGUGACAAAAAUCGAAUUCACACAAUGGCUGCCACUACAACGGACAGCCCAUAUGGGGGGCAUGCAUGUUUUACAAACAGCCCUUGUUAUAAAGAAACUUGACCUGGAUGUUUGUCUAGACAAUAUCUAGGUCAAGUUUGACUUUUGGUAAAGAUUGAAUGAACCAACUCCUCUCAGGUGAGCGAAUUAGGGCCAUCUUGGCCCUCUUGUUUUCUUACCCGAGGACAGAAUACUCAUAGUCAAUUUUAGUGAUCGCCUUUUGUCUGUUCUCAGUCUUUUGUUGUCAAUAUAGAGCACACGCCCUUCAAGGUCUUAUUUCUUGCCCAAUCUUAAUGACAUUUGGUCUGAGCAUUGGUCUGAUGAUAUGUUGGGCGAAAUCCAAAACAGGAUCAUGUAGGUGAAAUACAAGGCCAUAAGUUUAUAUAAAAACCCAUAGCUCAAUUAGCUAUCAACUUGCUGACAUUUAUAAACACUCAAGAAGUCCCUUAUGUAACCCAAACUUGUUCAGAACUUUUGUUCUUAGGAUAUCUUGACCAUGUUCAAUUCUUGGUCAUGUUGGGUCGACUUAAAAAAAAAUUGUGCUAAAUUGUAAGAGGCCAAAUUUAUUGCUCAAUGUUUAUUAAACAGGGACUAGACAUUUGUCCAAACGAUAUCUAGGCAUUGUUCAAAACUGUUUCAGGUGGGGUCAAAAUCCUGUAGCCACCUAAUACUUUAUAAAUAUUACUUGCAAAUAUCCUUAAAACAUAAACUCAGUUGAGCUGCCAAAUGCCCUUAAUCUUUAUUAUUUUUUAUUUGAAAUUUCAGCUAUAAUUAUUCGAGUUAUACAUUUAUAUAUAUGUUCAAAACAAAAUAUUCAAAAAAAAUGAAUAUAGUUUAUGCUUAUAAAAGCAAACAGUUUGGGUGCAUGGUAAUUUUGUUCAGUGCUUUGUAAAAUUUAACUUGAUUUAGAAAUACAUGUACAUGAAAAAAUAAACAAAAUUAUGCUUUUCUGACUUGCAUUCAUUCAACUCAAUGUAAUGCACAGGUACAUCAUUUUCUAUUGCAUAAAUAUUCAGACAUAUUAUAAUAUUUUAUGUACAAUUUAAUUAUAUUUUUAUUGUGACUCUAUUCUCUCACUAAUGAAAUGUGUUCGGAUACUUUUAUUUUACACUAGUCUAAACAUUGUGUUGGCUUUAUUUAAUGUUUUGUUGUAGAGUCUAUUUUCUAUGUUAUUAUUUUUUCAAGUGAAAGAAUUGUCCGUACUGGUUCUAGUUAUCUAUAUUUGAAGCAUAUAUAUAUUGAAAUGUGUUGAUGUUUUCCUGAACGGGUUUUUGUAUGUUUUAAUAAAUAAAAAAAAAGUGUAAAUUGUUACCAAGAGCAUGUUUUAAAGAAAAGCUUACUGUUAGGAAAAGUUCCUUGUGAAACAUUUUGUAUUCUCUAUUUCUGUUUGUUUUUUCAGAGUUUCACUUUUUGUAUUCACACAUGACACACAACCUGUUUUCUUUAGACAAAGAAGGAAAUCAAACAUGGGUAAAUAUGCAAAAGUAAUUUGCAAAACCAUAUGUUUAUGAAGUAGUUACAGAAAAUGAUAAGAAAUUGUACAAUAAAAUGUACAUGCUUGAAUGUGAACUUUCUGUAUAGUGUAUUAAAACACAUGUAAGCAUUUGUGCAUAUUAAAUUUUUGUUUGUGUUUUUGAAUCUGGAAAUGUCCUUGUAGCAUCAAUUAACUAAUUAUAUUGGUAUUAAGAUUUUAAUCAAUAAACCUGAUUUCAUUGAAGAAUGUUAUUCUAAAUUUAGUUGAUAUUAUAUUAUUUGAUCUGAUCCAUUUCCUUCAAACAAAAGCGCUUUAAUAUAUUUUAAAUACUAACGAAGAUUAUGUAAUAAUCAAAAACAUUGUUUUUGCUGCAACAAUUUGUUUUAAAAUAAACCUAGCAUAUUUAGGAGUUUAGAUUAGAACUAUGUCGCUCAUGCUUAUCCCCUGUUUUAAUUCCUUUGCAUCUACACUUAUUACUGUUGAUUAUAAGACAACAAAUUACAAUAGAAAAAUAUCAUUUCUUAAAUAACAAACAGAUCAUGUUUGAAAUCCCGUAUGAGAAAUUUCAAAAUUCUGUUUAUGACACUUGAUGAACAAAAUAUUCAAUGCGAAGUUGAACUUUCCUUUAAAAAAAAUAGUUGAAACAACUCUGGACAGGUUUGUCAAAUUAUUAGAAAAUAAUCACGAAAGGGUUCAGUCUGAUUUUUGGCUGCACUAAGUCACAGGUGGUUGGUGUGUGUCAUUUCUGCAUUGAAUAAGACUGGAUUUAAAAAAAUUGCUGCAAAAUUGAUGAAGUAAUGGCUGUUCAAAGGGACGCACCCUGUUUUCGGGUGAUUUCGCGUUGAAUACCUUGUUAUAUAUAUAUUUGAUAGUGAUUUUUUUUUCAGAAAAGUUGAUUUUUCAUAAUAAUAUGAUUAUUUAUAAUUCAAAAUGAUGUUUUCACUAUUAAUAUUAAAGCCACACACCAACCACCUGUGCACUAAGUACCUGUUCACAUGGGGGAUCUAUCCUUAGUAGUGCUAGUAUCUAGUCAGGGAGAGAAAUCUACAAGGGCCGAUUGCCUAAUGGCCCCUUAAAUGGGGAGUGUGGAGGGUGGCAGGGCUCCCUUAAUAAUCAACUUUACUUAAAGUAUAAAAAUUAUGAGAGAUGGUGACCACGGCCCAAUUGUGGAUUUCUGACAGUGUCUGGUUCCCUUAACAUUUGUGAUCCGACUGUAGAAGUGCUCAGUCCUAUUUUGUUAAUCCCUCCUUUCAAAGAAGAGGGGGUAUAUUGUUUUGCACAUGUCGGUCGGUCCAUCCACCAGAUGGUUUCCGGAUGAUAACUCAAGAAUGCUAAGGCCUAGGAUCAUGAAACUUCAUAGGUACAUUGAUCAUGACUGGCAGAUGACCCCUAUUGAUUUUCAGGUCACUAGGUCAAAGGUCAAGGUCACGGUGACACGAAUCAGUAAAAUGGUUUCGGGUUUAUAACUCAAUAAUGCUUACCCCUAGGAUCAUAAAACUUUACUAGGUCAAAGGUCAAGGUCACAGUGACAAAAAAUGUAUUCACUCAGUGGCUGCCACUACAACUGACAACUGAUAUGGGGGGCAUGCAUGUUUCACAACCAGCCCUUGUUGAAAUUUGUGACUUUAUGGCCAGUAAUAAGUGUUUGGUAUCUGAAUAUGUGCUGUAACUGUAAACAAAUGUACUUAAUUAGGAAAUAGUUGAUCAAACUGUUUUCAACUUUCAUUGUUUGCUUUAGUUUAAAACUUGUAAUUUUUUUUUCUUAUUAACUGAAACAACUACUGUUACAAAAUUAAAUUAUGACACAACAUGGCAAACCAAAUUGUAACAAAAGAAAGAUUUUGAGAGGUAAAUUUUUAAAUGCUAGUUUAUAUUAAUUUUACUAUGUGAUAUGAAUCUAGUGUUGAUGAUUGGUGUGGGAAAGGGUGAGGCUAAUAAUAUUGAGAGAAGCUAGGCUGUGUUUUAACCCUUUACCACUUUGAUAUGUAUUUUCAAGCAUUUGUUGUCCUUUAGAAAGUUAAAUUUUAUUAAAUGCCUCUGUCUAGAUCCAAGUUUUAAAGGUUUCUAUUCCAACCCUUAGAUACUGAUGAGAAGCAAACAGCGUAAAACCUGAACAGAUUGCGAGUUACUUGCAGGCUGUUCUGGUUUUAUGCUGUUUGCACAUAAUCAUUUUCACUUUGUUUCUAGGUGGGAAAGGGUUAAAGUAGCAUAAUCUGUUUCAUUUUGAAAUCGAACUAAUUUAUUUUUGUUCGGUUUAGAUAAAUCAAUUUAUCUAGUAAAUCUAAAAUACUGGUGUACAUAUUGGUAAUAAUUAUGGGAUUAUUUGUAUAGCAUAUGGAUAAUUGUGGGAAAAAAUGUUGUGUAGCUUCAUAAAAUGUGUACCUUAUAAGAAAUUGAUGCAUUUAUGCACUGCAGUACGUAUAUGUUACAUAUCUAUUUGUAGCUUAAAAAUUCCCCUACACUUAAUCUGUAUUUGUUAGUGAAUUUAAAUAUUCUAUUGGUAUUGUUUUGAAUUUUAUUGAAAUAAACAUUUGAUGAAUGGAACCAUUAACAGUUAACAUAUACUUUAUGAAAUAUUUGUCGUUCAUGUUUUUGUGUUGGUUUAAGAUGGAGAAAAUACAAUGUUGGCAUAUAAGUCAUAUAUACUCGCUUUAAAUUAUGUCCUAUUUUAAGUUUCAGAUGUUACUGUCAGUCAAUUUGUUGUAGUGAAUUAUUUAUUAUGAAAUAUUUGUUUGUCAAACUUUUAUUCAUGUAUUUUGUGGCCGAAAACUUCUUGCCUUUCAGAAUCAAUCAAUUAGCAUUAGGUAUUUUUAAAAGGUUUUGAAAAUGUAAAUAUUAACAGUUAGUAAAAUUGAAACAGUAAUAUUGAAAAUAUUGUUUAUCUUGAGGGUUAAAGCUAGUAAAGUUGCUGAAUAGCAGUUUUAGGGGGAAAAAUAAAAUAAUAAAGUGC